UGCCACAGCCAUAUCACCCUGCAGCCCAAGACCGGUUACUCACUGAAGCUAAGCAGGGCUGAACCUGGUUAGUACCUGGAUGGGAGACCACUAGGGAACACUAGGUUGCUGCUGGAA
rnacentral:rRNA from 1 species